UGAUGAUGAUGAUGAUGAUGAUGAUGAUGAUGAUGAUGAUGAUGAUAAACUUGGUUGACUUGCAUUUUCUUCAUUUUCCACAUUAUCAUCGAAUGAA
rnacentral:miRNA from 1 species